rnacentral:rRNA from 1 species
CAGCCGCCGCGGUAAUACGGAGGGUGCAAGCGUUAAUCGGAAUUACUGGGCGUAAAGCGCACGCAGGCGGUCUGACAAGUCAGAUGUGAAAUCCCCGGGCUUAACCUGGGAACUGCAUUUGAAACUGUCAGGCUGGAGUCUUGUAGAGGGGGGUGGAAUUCCAGGUGUAGCGGUGAAAUGCGUAGAGAUCUGGAGGAAUACCGGUGGCGAAGGCGGCCCCCUGGACAAAGACUGACGCUCAGGUGCGAAAGCGUGGGGAGCAAACAGGAUUAAAUACCCGAGUAGUCCCUGUCUCUUAUAC